CCCUAGUACGGCGAGUGAGCGGGAACAGCUCAAUUUUAAACCUGACUGCGUUUGCAGUCCGAGUUGUAUUUUGAAGGAGUCUGUCGCCUAUGGAACGAUGGCACAAGUCCUCUGGAACGAGGCAUCAUAGAGGGUGAGAAUCCCGUCUCUGGCCUUUGUUUCUUGGCACACGGCAGGCAUCCGAAGAGUCGAGUUGUUUGGGAUUGCAGCUCCAAAUGGGUGUAAACUCCAUCUAAGGCUAAAUAUUGGCGAGAGACCGAUAGCGAACAAGUACCGUGAGGGAAAGAUGAAAAGAACUUUGAAAAGAGAGUAAAACAGUACGUGAAAUUGUUGAAAGGGAAACGCUUGAAGUCAGUCGUGCCGGCGGGGAUUCAGCAAACUCCACGGAGUGAGCGUAUUUCUUCGCAUGGCAGGUCAGCGUCAGUUUCGCGCGUCGUGAAAUGGUUCUGGUAAGGUGACUCUCUUCGGGGAGUGUUAUAGACCGGAGCAGAUGCGGGGGCGCGAGACUGAGGAUUGCAGCGGACACCCUUCGG
rnacentral:rRNA from 1 species